rnacentral:rRNA from 1 species
UACGUAGGGGGCAAGUGUUGUCCGGAUUUAUUGGGCGUAAAGAGCGUGUAGGCGGUCUGGUAGGUCCGUUGUGAAAACUCGAGGCUCAACCUCGAGACGCCGAUGGAAACCAUCAGACUAGAGUCCGGAAGAGGAGAGUGGAAUUCCUGGUGUAGCGGUGAAAUGCGCAGAUAUCAGGAAGAACACCCGUGGCUAAGGCGGCUCUCUAGUACGGUACUGACGCUGAGACGCGAAAGCGUGGGGAGCGAACAGA